ACACAACUUUUUAUAUCUCUUUCUCACGCGGAUAUAGAACCCUAAAAAACAUUCACUAUCUCAGUUCCUCCAUCUCUCUCACUCAGUAUAUCCGUUCAAUCGAAGCAGCUGUUUCCCUUUCCUCUCAAACUUCAUUCGCUCCAAACUCUCUCUCUCUCUCUCUCUCUCACGCGAAUAUCGAACCUUAACUCACUAUCGAAGCAGUCGUUUCUCAGUUCGUAUCAUCCCUCCGUUCAAUCGAAGCAGCUGUUUCCUUUUAGUCGUCCGAAGCCUUCACUUGUUAUUUCUGUUCAGUUCAGUCGCUGUUUCACUCACCGAAGCCUUCAAUCGCAUUUUGCGAAGCUAAUCAAGGCUCACUAAUCCCAAAUCUAAGCUCAUUGAAACGAAUCGAAACACAAACAGGUACUGAUUCUAUAUCUACCAAGGCAAGGCAUUCUUCAGGAAACACUGUCAACGAAGCUAUUCGGUCCAAACGGUGAGAGAUUUGAACACCUUGCAGUUUUGAACUUGGUACAGAACGUGGUUUGUUUAAUCUGGUCAUAUAUAUAAAGUGAUAAAGUUGUGGGGUGGUGGAAAUUCUGGUGGUGCUCCAUGGUGGUCUUACUGGAGUGUUGAUAUUAUAUUACUAAUACUAUUGGUCUUGCUAUGGGAAUUGAAGCUAAUAAUGAUUUGGAUGAAGUUCCUACCUGUUAGAGACAGUUAGCACAUAAUGUGUGAUCUGGGUUUAUAUCAGUUUCUACGUUUCUUUAAUUUGUUUCAGUAUCACAUAGGUAGAGGUCAUAUUAGAGCGUCUAUGAAAGCAAAACUUUAUCACUUGCUAGAGCAUUGAGCUAAGGAAUGCUAAUCAAUUUGAUCAACAUAUAUACUUAUACUAUGAAUUUGUGCUCUUCUGGAUCUCAUGUUUUUAUUUCUACUUGUCCUUGGCAGCUGAUAUUUUUUCAUUCCUUUGUGGAGGGAAAGUGGUUAUACGACAAUGUCCGUUCAAGAGAUCAUCGCAUUUCCGGGACCUCUCAACUAAUUCAGAACAUGGUCUUGAGUACGGACGAUUCAUCGAAAGCAAAUCGUAAAGGAAAGCAAAAAUAGGCAGGAGCUCGCGAAGAAGUUUUCAGCUUGAAAGAGAAAGUUAUCAAAAGUAGGCAGUAGCCAUCAAUGAGUUUUGGUAAGUUGCUUUUUAGUUUUGGGAAUGGGUUCGUGAGAGAUGAGCACUCAUGUUAACAUAGAUUGGUUCUGUAAGUGUGAGAGAGCUUCACUAAUAGGUUUUGUCUUAAACUUGUUAGGGGAAUUGGUUUAGGUUACUCUGGCCUUUGAUUAUUGAUUUGAAAAAACUAAAUCGAAUUUUGAUUAAAGGGGGCUGAUUUUUUGUUAGAUUAAGUUUGUGUCCAAAUUUUCUUAAAUUGUAGAUAUUCAUGAAGAAUUUUGUUGUUAGAUUGUGAUUUUUUUUUUUUUAUGAAUUUACGUUUCUUUUCUUGGUAUAUUAUUCUAAAACCUUAUUGAUCAUCAUUUUAUUGAUUGGAUUGGAUCUAUCUGAGAGUUACUUUUGUCUCUAUGUUUGACCUUUCCUUUUGUUUUUGACAUAUAGCGGGUAAGGGAAUUAGGAUGAACGAGCUCUUGAACCCUAUUGUGAUUGUUAGGACCAAAUAUUUGUUAGUAUUUAAUUAAUAGAUCAAUUGCAUGAAUCCAGCUACAAAAUCAUAAGCUAAGAUCAACUGAGCAUUUGAAAGCAUGUGUAUAGUGUAGUGAAUGACCUUUUCAUUAAGUCUAGAGUAUUAUGGAUACUUUCUGAUUGCGUCUGAAAUCGACAUUAAUUGGUAUAGUGAAUGAUAUUUUAUUAAAAUAAAAGUGUGACAAAGGUUGUGGCUAGAGUAUUUGAGUCUUUGUUGAUAGGUUAGCCUGUAUAUUGUUUGUUGGCAGUUGUGUUUUUUGAGUACUCCUGGAAGUUGUUUUUGUUAAGAACGUGAAUGUUGUGGAAUUUGUAGUCACAUGUUCUUGAUUUUUAAUUUUGAAUGGUGUGUGUUAUAGGUUUAUUUGCAAGUUAUGAUUUGGAUGCUGACAUGUGGGUUAAAAAAAAAUGCUGGAGUAAGAACAAAAACACUUUUUAAAAAAAAAAAG